AUGGUUAACUGGCCAGAAACGGAAGGGAAAAAGAGAGACGACUAUGACAACAUGCACGGGCGUGGCACCGGCAAUCUUGAAAACUGCGUUAGCGAAGAGUACAGACGUGCUAAGAUAGCACGUGAAGGGACUAUCCUAGAUGAAGAAACAAAGAAACCUAAACGGAAAGGUGGUGGCAGGAGUAGAAAGCCAAGCACGUCAGGGGUUUCAUCGAACACGACUAACAGUAUGGACCGUGUGAUGACAUACAUAAAGCUGCUUCACAAGGAGGUUCUCAAUAUACCCGAAAGAUGUGCACAAAUGGUAAUGGAAAAGUUGAACACGGAAGGUGUGUUGUACAAACCCAAUAAGAGGGACACCAAUGACGAAUUUGAUAAUGUAGGUUAA
rnacentral:rRNA from 1 species